GGAAAAAUUGUUCCUGACUGGUGCAUUUUUAUUUCAGCAUACAUAGAUGUUCAAAUUGAAAAGUCUGAUACACACAUAUGUAAAUACAAUGGGUCGCGCACGUGCAUAGAUGAAUCACCCUACUUUACGACGACCACCUGGCCUUUCCUUACGACCGGAAGGCGACAAGCGAUUAGGUGGCCGGGGCACACGAAGACCGCGACCGUACUCCAAUUCGGCUUCAUGUGUCUGCGAGUCCUGCGUAGGUGGUGGAGUCGCGAAUUCUUGUUGCGAACCUGAAGCGUAAUUGUAGGCGUAUGGUUGUGACUCCGGGGGGAUAAAAGAUGGGCCAUACAUUGAGUUAUUGGGAUUGCUUGCAAACCUCAUGUACGACCCCACGACCGAUCACCUGUGACAGGCCACAAACCCCAACGGGCAACUGUCCCAUCAUUUCCUCCGUCAACGACGAAGGCCUCCAUUGUCAUUUUUUUUUCCUGCAUCACUGGUCCAAACACCGCUCGGAUGCACCUUCUAACAGCUGCGUAACCCACGUUGAUCAUGUCUCUCACCACUACUGUAGUCGACUCGCAGAAGGACACAUCCACCCCGCAUGGACCGUCGCGUAAGACGUUCCCAUAGUACACUGCUAAAUUUUCCAUAGUACCUAACCAACAUACAUGUUUACAUUUCAAAUAAUUAGUAACUGAACAUUUAGUAACGAUGACAACAUUUACAUAUCUUACGACUAAAAUAAUAACCGUAUUUUCGUUAUAAAUAUUCGGUUUGUUUUUAGAAUCAUUUGCUUAGACUUUAAGGGGUUGUUUGGUUAACGGGUAUUUAAAGAUCUAUUUUUCUCAAACUUGUCUACGAGCGUAACAAACUAAAACUCUGUUUGCUUUUCUCUAACUACCCCAAAAAUAUCCUAAAAUAGUUCUCGUAACAUGCAAAAACUUAGCUUCUGGAAAAACGACUAUUAGUAAAAUAUGGUUUUCUACAUAAUUUUCUUACAACAGGUUAUGACAAAACUAAGGGUAAGUACUCGCUAUCCAAACAACCACUAAACAUAAUAUUACGAUAAUAACAUUUAAAUAUCAUAUGAGUAAAAUAUCUAAUUUCUUCCGGCAUUAUAUAAUGUUUUUCAUAUCAUACGAUAAAAUUCAUUUAUUUACAAACAAUAAUUUUUGCAGUGGCAUGACAGUACAUCAAUAUAAAAAAUAUUAACAAAAUUACGGCGUCAUUUUAUACCUUAGCUCCAAUAUGAAUGUGCUUGCGAAUGCAAUUAAGAGUCCAAAUAGUUCAAAUAAAACUCGUCUACGAGCGUCACAAACUAAAACUCUCUUUUUUCUCUAACGACUAUUAGUAAAAACUAUUUUUCUUAUAACAGGUUAUGACAAAACCCAUGAUAAUUACUCGCUAUCCAAACAACCAGUAAACAUAAUAGUAUGAUAAUAACAUUUUAAUAUCAUAUGAGUAAAACAUUUAAUUUCUUUCGGCUUUAUAUAAUUUUUUUUCACAUCAUACGAUAACAAUCAUUUAUGUACAAAUAAUAAUAUUUUUGCAGCAGCAUGCACAUUAUUCACAAUAGUACAUCAAUACAAAAAAUAUUAACAAAAUUACAGUGUCAUUUUUCACCUUAGCUCCAAUAUGGAUGUGCUUGCGAAUGCAAUUAAGCGUCAAAAUAGUUCCAAUAAAUAUCCGUCGCCAGUACUAUAUAAACCUCGUCAACCUAUUAUCACAUUAACAACAAUAUUACACACGGAUUUUUCUUCCUGCUAACAAAAGUAUAAAAAUAGCACUUCCAUGUAUGUGUUCAUCACCUCAAAAUGGGACAGCGAAAAUGAAAAUACAAUUUCUUCAAUCACGUCUUCUCCUCCUUGUUUGCUACUAAGAUGAAUUAUUUUACCUAAUUACAUACAUCAUUAAGUACAUUAGCACCUAAUCUUAACAUAUAAAAUUUAGAUUAUUGCGACAUAACAAAGUAGACUUACGGUUUCCUAACUAUAGACUUAUUAAUAAACAUACCACAUAAAAUUACAUACCACAUGAAAUAACAUACCGCAUGCAAUAAACAAUUACAGUACAAUUUUUUCUUAAUUACCGUAUUAAGAUUUCCCGCAUAUCAAUACUAAUGGACGCACCUAACAUUGAUGCAACAUCUUCAACCUACUAUUUCAAAAAAUAGUUUAAAUGCUACAUCUCUCGUCUGAAAUUAUUUCUAACCUCUAAGCACUACCAUCACAUAGCUAAUAACGAGCUAAAGGACGAACUAAUUACCACCCUGCAUGCAUAAAUAAAUAAAUGUAUUGCAAAGCUCAUACCUUGAUCUUCAACUUCGUAGUUCACUUUGCACGGCU
rnacentral:lncRNA from 1 species